rnacentral:rRNA from 1 species
CGGAGGGUGCAAGCGUUAUCCGGAUUCACUGGGUUUAAAGGGAGCGUAGGUGGGCAGGUAAGUCAGUGGUGAAAUCUCCGGGCUUAACCCGGAAACUGCCAUUGAUACUAUUUGUCUUGAAUAUUCUGGAGGUAAGCGGAAUAUGUCAUGUAGCGGUGAAAUGCUUAGAUAUGACAUAGAACACCCAUUGCGAAGGCAGCUUACUACGGAAUUAUUGACACUGAGGCUCGAAAGCGUGGGGAUCAAACAGGAUUAGAUACCCUGGUAGUCCACGCCCUAGACGAUGGAUACUCGACAUCAGCGAUACACUGUUGGUGUCUGAGCGAAAGCAUUAAGUAUCCCACCUGGGAAUACGACCGCAAGGUUG